GCGUAGAAUGCAUCACGUAUAUACCAUACAAUGUAAUUCCCUGUCAUAGGAGGGAUUCCCAUGCAACAUAGCCGUUUUAAAGUACUAUUGUACUAAACACCCACAAACUGGGUCUAUCUGUUAGACAGAAGUAGUAAUAUACCAAUAAAACAGUAACGUGUUUCAUAUUCAGAAUACGACACUGUUAAGUAGAAUUUAUGACCUGCCAAAACGCCUUGGAAAGUUUGGCUGAGGAACAACACGGAACUUCCGAUACGACUCCUCGGUCCACCACUGCUUGAGGUUGCCAUAGCGAUCAUACUGCCCUCCUGGGAAAUGCAGUGAGAGGCCGACACCUUAACAUAGGCUACAGUAUUCCAGCUGGGAAAACUGAGAGCCACAGAGGAAGAAAAGAAGUAUGAGGCAAAAGCGGGUGGGAGAGGCAAGAAAAAGGGAUCAUUACAAUAAAAAUGAUGGCUGUGUGCACUGAGGGACUCCAUCCCUCAUCUCUCCAUUCUCUCUCUCUCUGUCUUUCUUUCUUUGUUUUUGUCCUCUAUUACUAUAAGUGGUUCUACUACUUAAUUUAAUUCAGACUCAAUGGAGAAUAAGAAAUAAGGGCUAAGGAGAGGAAAUUGUGUCUGUGUGUGUCUGUCUGACUGUCUGUGCGUGUGUGUGUGUCUGUCUAUCUAUGCGUGUGUGUGUCUGUCUGACUGUGCGUGUGUGUGUGUCUGUGUGUGUCUGUCUGUGUGUGUCUGUGUGUGCGUGCGUGUGUGUGUGUCUGUCUGUCUAUGCGUGUGUGUGUGUGUCUGUCUAUGUGUGCAUGUGUGUGUGUGUGUGUGUGUGCGUGUGUGUGUGUCUGUCUGUCUGUGAGUGUGUGUGUGUGUCUGUCUGUCUACGUGCAGGUUUGUAUUUCCUACCACAAUGUGGUAAAACCUGUUUUUCUUUUUAGCUUGUCGGGACUUUUUUCAGGUCUCCACAAUAUAUUCCCCAAUUUCAUAAAAUUCUGUGAAUGCAA